CUACGGGGGGCAGCAGUGAGGAAUAUUGCACAAUGGGGGGAACCCUGAUGCAGCAACGCCGCGUGGAGGAUGACGCAUUUCGGUGUGUAAACUCCUUUUAUAUGUCAAGAAAAUGACGGUAGCAUAUGAAUAAGCACCAGCUAACUCCGUGCCAGCAGCCGCGGUAAUACGGAGGGUGCAAGCGUUACUCGGAAUCACUGGGCGUAAAGGACGCGUAGGCGGGUUGGAAAGUCAGGUGUGAAAUCCUACAGCUUAACUGUAGAACUGCGCUUGAAACUUCUAAUCUAGAGUAUGGGAGGGGGAGAUGGAAUUAGUGGUGUAGGGGUAAUAUCCGUAGAUAUCACUAGGAAUACCUAAAGCGAAGGCGAUCUCCUGGAACAUUACUGACGCUAAGGCGUGAAAGCGUGGGGAGCAAACAGGAUUAGAUACCCGCGUAGUC
rnacentral:rRNA from 1 species